rnacentral:ncRNA from 1 species
CUUGCUGAAAUUAAGCAUGUUAGUCAGCAGAGGAAAAAAAACUAAUUAGGAUUCCUGCAGUAAUGGCGAGUGAACAGGGAAGAGCCCAGUGAUGAAUCCCCGUCCUGCGGUGGGGCACGGGAAAUGUGGCAUACAGAAGACCCAAUCCCUGGUGCCGUUCUUGGGUACUGAAGUCCUUCUGAUCAAGGCACAGCCUGCAGGCGGUGUGAGGCCGGUAGUGGCCCCAGCGUGCCGGGACCGGGUCUUCUUGGAGUCAGGUUCCUGGGGAAUGCAGCCCAAAUCAGGUGGUAAAUUCCAUCUAAGGCUAAUUACUGUCACGAGACCGAUAGUCAACAAGUACCAUAAGGGAAAGUUGAAAAGAACUUUGAAGAUAGAGUUCAAGAAGGCGUGAAACCAUGAAGAGGUAAAUGGGUGGGAUCCACGCAGUCUGCCUGGAGGAUUAAACCUGGCGG